AUUGAACGCUGGCGGCAGGCCUACACAUGCAAGUCGAGCGGCAGCGGAAGGAAGCUUGCUUCCUUGCCGGCGAGCGGCGGACGGGUGAGUAAGGUAUGGGGAUCUGGCCGAAGGCGGGGGAUAACCACUGGAAACGGUGGCUAAUACCGCAUAAUCUCUAAGGAGCAAAGUGGGGGACCGUUCAGGCCUCACACCUUCGGAUGAACCCAUAUGAGAUUAGCUAGUAGGUGGGGUAAUGGCUCACUUAGGCGACGAUCUCUAGCUGGUCUGAGAGGAUGAUCAGCCACACGGGGACUGAGACACGGCCCAGACUCCUACGGGAGGCAGCAGUGGGGAAUAUUGCACAAUGGGCGCAAGCCUGAUGCAGCCAUGCCGCGUGUAUGAAGAAGGCCUUCGGGUUGUAAAGUACUUUCAGUCGUGAGGAAGGUGUUAAGGUUAAUAACCUUAGCAAUUGACGUUAGCGACAGAAGAAGCACCGGCUAACUCCGUGCCAGCCGCCGCAGUAA
rnacentral:rRNA from 1 species